rnacentral:rRNA from 1 species
AAAUCUAAUGGCUUAACCAUUAAACUGCUUGGGAAACUGAUAGUCUAGAGUGAGGGAGAGGCAGAUGGAAUUGGUGGUGUAGGGGUAAAAUCCGUAGAUAUCACCAAGAAUUCCCAUUGCGAAGGCGAUCUGCUGGAACUCAACUGACGCUAAGGCGCGAAAGCGUGGGGAGCAAACAGGAUUAGAUACCCUGGUAGUCCACGCCCUAAACGAUGUACACUA